CCUACGGGAGGCAGCAGUGAGGAAUAUUGGUCAAUGGACGAGAGUCUGAACCAGCCAAGUAGCGUGAAGGAUGACUGCCCUAUGGGUUUUAAACUUCUUUUAUAUGGGAAUAAAAUGUUCCACGUGUGGGAUUUUGUAUGUACCAUAUGACUAACGAUCGGCUAACUCCGUGCCAGCAGCCGCGGUAAUACGGGGGAUCCGAGCGUUUGCCGGAUUUAUUGGGUUUAAAGGGAGCGUAGGUGGAUUGUUAAGUCAGUUGUGAAAGUUUGCGGCUCAACCGUAGAAUUGCAGUUGAAACUGGCAGUCUUGAGUACAGUAGAGGUAGGCGGAAUUCGUGGUGUAGCGGUGAAAUGCUUAGAUAUCACGAAGAACUCCGAUUGCGAAGGCAGUUCACUGGACUGCAACUGACGCUGAGGCGCGAAAGUGUGGGUAUCAAACAGGAUUAGAUACCCCGGUAGUC
rnacentral:rRNA from 1 species